GUCCCGGCUGCGGCCCCUGCGGGUUACAUAACCGGUUGCGGGCUCCGCGUGGCCCCACUUCCGGCUCCCUGCGACCCCAGGAUGCGCUGAGCCCCACUGCACCGUCCACCGUCCGCCGCCCGCUCCCGCCCGGAGUGUGAAUGACAGAGGUGGUGCCAUCCAGCGCCCUCAGCGAGGUCAGCCUGCGCCUCCUCUACCACGAUGACAUAGACACUGUGAAGCAUCUGUGUGGCGACUGGUUCCCCAUCGAGUACCCAGACUCAUGGUAUCGUGACAUCACCUCCAACAAGAAGUUCUUUUCCCUUGCUGCAACCUACAGGGGUAUCAUUGUAGGAAUGAUAGUAGCUGAAAUAAAAAGUAGGACCAAGAUACACAAGGAGGAUGGAGAUAUUCUAGCCUCCAACUUCUCUGUUGACACACAAGUUGCAUACAUUCUAAGUCUCGGAGUAGUGAAGGAAAUCAGAAAGCACGGCAUAGGUUCUCUUUUACUUGAGACUUUAAAGGAUCACAUAUCCACCACUGCCCAGGACCACUUCAAAGCCAUCUACCUGCAUGUCCUCACCACCAACAACACAGCAAUAAACUUCUACGAAAACAGAGACUUCAAGCAGCACCACUAUCUCCCCUAUUACUAUUCCAUCCAUGGGGUCCUCAAAGAUGGCUUCACUUUUAUCUUCUACAUCAAUGGUGGCCACCCUUCUUGGACCAUUUUGGACUACAUCCAGCACCUGGGUUCUGCUCUGGCAAACUUGAACCCCUGCUCCAUCCCACACAGGAUUUACCACCAGGCCCACAGCCUGCUCUGAAGCUUCCUGCCAUGGUCGAGCAUCUCCACCAAAGGCGGCAUUGAAUACAGCCGGACCAUGUGAUGCCAGCCGGGCAGCCUCCAACAGGUCCCACCCCUUGGCGCCCUCUGGAUCUCACCUUCCUGGCCAUUUGACCUCAACUGUGUUCUGCAGAGGAGCUGGCCCAUCACCUGCCCCAGCUGCAGGCCCGGUGCUACAUGGGCUUGGUAGCAGAGCGUCGUGGGGCGGGUAUGCCUGGUCUCCAACAGGCUCUUCAGCCCUCCUUCCUGCUCUGGAAACCUCUGCCCUUGCCCUGGUCUGGCCCCCAUGUGAGUGCACCAGCCUCAUAGGCUGGCCACAGUGUUCAUUGUGGUCAGUUGCUUCUGCUGCCCUGGGAGUAUGGGGGCAGGAGAGGGCUUCCUUUCCUGCACGUCCUCACUGGCCUCUUCCCCCGCACUGCCCGUUCCUUCCAACUCCUUCCUCCAAAGCCGGAAUUAACUCCUGGGAGGGAGGAACCCAAGUGUUAUGGAUAGACUUGGCCCUAAAGACACAGGAGCCUCAGAACAAUGAAGGGGUAAAAUAAAGGGAAUGCCAAACCCUUGUAAAGAACCAGCCUCAGAAGCCUGGGGGGCAGGAACAGCUCCUACCUCCCCAGGAGGGGCUGGCAAGUGGUGGGAGGUUUUUCACCCAAACACAGAGCUCUGGGGCUUAGUUCCCUGGCAUGGUCGUCAGAUAAUGGGAAGGUUUCCCACCCCUCUGUUGGCAGUCCUGCUGUCUCAGAGAGCGAGGAACUACCCAUCACAUGCUGGAUGUGCCAUUCAGUUGAACUGCCCCAGGGAGCCGGGCUGAGGACAGGUGCUGGUGAGGGUCCCAAGGGCCCUCCCCUCCAGCCCCCCAGUUCUGUGAGAUGCAGUUCUGAGGCCUGACCAUAUGCAAACAAGAAGAAUUGAGUGUGGUGUUUGAUCAAGUAGGACCUGGCCUUUGAGGCUGGGGGCAGUCGCUUGCCUUGUGGUCCUCAGCCUCUGGGAACAGACAGAAGAGGCUGUGUCAGUGCCAGGAAGCAUGCAUGUGGACAUCACUUGCUUCUGGCGUUCCCUCCACCCCACCCCCCAAAGCUGCUUGCUCCCUGCCCUGCCCUCCAGAGUAAAGGGGGUUGGCAGAGUCAUGCCCAGCAUUGCUGCAGUGUCCUGGAGCCAUCGCCACAGUGCACAGUCUGAGAGGGAGGAGAAGGUGGAACAACCAAGCAAGAGGGCCUCGGAUUGGCAUCCUUCCCUCCCUCGGAACUCCCAGCCCAGGGGCUCCUCUGGCCUUGCGGUGGGGGAAGGGGUUUCUCGAGAUGAAGGCGAGCCUGCGCAGGAAAACCACCUCUCCUUCCUCGGCCACUUCACACUCUCACUGACUGGUCCCCACUCCGUGCUGACAUUGACUUUGAGCUGAGGCCCAGCUCAGUGUCCUCUCUAAUCUGAAUCAACGGUUAUCAUGUGGUUUUUAUUUCUGCCCCACGGGGUAAGGGAAGAGUCUUCCAGAAGGUUCUGCCUUGGACUUGCAUAAUUGAGCCGAGGCCUUGCCCUGCCCCUUCCUCCUUGCCCCUAAUCACGGCAGUGUCUAGCCCAGUGUUGAACAGAUUGUAGUGUUCUGUCUGAUUACAAACAAAUAAAUAGACUUUAAUUGGUCAAAAAAAAAAAAA